rnacentral:rRNA from 1 species
GGAGGGGGCAAGCGUUGUUCGGAAUUACUGGGCGUAAAGGGCGCGUAGGCGGAAGAUCAAGUCAGGGGUGAAAGGCCUGGGCUCAACCCGGGAACUGCCUUUGAAACUGGUUUUCUAGAGUACGGGAGAGGAUGGCGGAAUUCCCAGUGUAGAGGUGAAAUUCGUAGAUAUUGGGAAGAACACCGGUGGCGAAGGCGGCCAUCUGGCCCGGUACUGACGCUAAGGCGCGAAAGCGUGGGGAGCAAACAGGAUUAGAUACCCUGGUAGUCCACGCCGUAAACGAUGUGUGCUAGCCGUUGGGGCUUCAGGUCUCGGUGGCGCAGCUAACGCGUUAAGCACACCGCCUGGGGAGUACGGCCGCAAGGUUAA